rnacentral:rRNA from 1 species
GACGAACGCUGGCGGCGUGCCUAAUACAUGCAAGUAGAACGCUGAAGGAGGAGCUUGCUUCUCUGGAUGAGUUGCGAACGGGUGAGUAACGCGUAGGUAACCUGCCUGGUAGCGGGGGAUGACUAUUGGAAACGAUAGCUAAUACCGCAUAAUAGUAGAUGUUGCAUGACAUUUGCUUAAAAGGUGCACUUGCAUCACUACCAGAUGGACCUGCGUUGUAUUAGCUAGUUGGUGGGGUAACGGCUCACCAAGGCGACGAUACAUAGCCGAUCUGAGAGGGGGCUCUGCCACACUGGUACGGGGACACGGCCCAGCCUCCUACGGGAGGCAGCAGUAGGGAAUCUUCGGCAAUGGACGGAAGUCUGACCGAGCAACGCCGCGCGAGUGAAGAAGGUUGUCGGAUCGUAAAGCUCUGUUGUAAGAGAAGAACGAGUGUGAGAGUGGAAAGUUCACACUGUGACGGUAUCUGACCAGAAAGGGACGGCUAACUACGUG